AGACAUGGCGGAUUUCCGGUUAUGAUCAGCGGCAGGGAUGCCAUGGAGAGGGGAAGGAACAAGGCUAGUCUUCCCUAUGUUACUCCAGUUUAUAUUGUGUGCUGCUGAAGCGAGCCCCAUUCCACUAAUUUCUGGUGAGGGGAGUGACCAGAACCAGCUGGAAGCCCACAGGAGGCAGCAGGUGUUGUGCUUCUUACACAGAAGACACGUACUGCACUACCACGAUGUGGGGCACGGAGUCCUGUGGAGGCACCAGAUCUUCUUCUGGGGUUGGUGAAGCUGUUGAUUCCAGUACCACAUCUGCUGCCAUCAUGGAUGAAUCCUCUGCCUUGAUCUCAGGAGCAGUUCUGAUGGAAAUGUGAAUGUCUGUGGGAAGAGAGGAGGAAGUCAUGGUUUCAGUGUCCUCUAUUUCUGACCUCCCUGGUGGUCUAUUUAGACUGAUUUUGGAAUGAACUUCUCAAAUGCAGACCCAGAAGCCAAGAACAGUAGCUCAUGACUAAUCCUAGCUACUAGAAUGCUGAGAUCUGGGGAUCACAGUCCAAAGCCAUCCCUGGCAAGAAAGAAAGUCCGUAAGAUUCUUAGCACCAGUGAACCACCAAGAGGCAGAAAUAGAAUUGUGGCUAAAACAGGGACAGCAUGCAGGCCUUGAGUUCAGGCUCCAGGAUUAUAGAAAAAAAUUGGAACGAGA